rnacentral:lncRNA from 1 species
GUUUGUGGCAGCCCUUUUUGUAGAGGCAAGAAACUGGAAACUGAGUGGAUGCCCAUCAGUUGGAGAAUGGCCAAAUAAGUGUGGGGAGCGCCAGGAAGAGACGUUUCUGUACAUCCAUCCUAUGACGGUUUCUAGUCUACUCUCCAAGGUCGGAAAGUGUUCGAGGGGUUUGAUUUAUUGA